UAGGGGAGCCUAACAGGGGGCCACGGGAAACUGGGGAAACUCCAGCCUCUCGCCCAGGGGGAGUCCCGCGAGGGACGGGGUUAGGUGCUCCGACAACUGCACAGAAACGAGACCUGCGGUGGGCCAGAUGAAAAUGAUCAUUUACCCCAUCUGGCGACGGAUGGGAGGGUGUGAGAGACCUAUCGUGGGUUGAAACGGCAGAUCUCCCCUUGAGCAAGUAGGGGAGGAUAGGGCAAAAUGACUCCCCUGAUACGCAGAGCCUAAUCCCCCAAGUACAGAAGCUGGGUUAUUGUUAGGCUCCCC
rnacentral:RNase_P_RNA from 13 species